AGCCCCUCCUUAGUGCUGUAAAAGCAGAAGGGAAAAAAAAAAAGGAGGAGGAAGAAAGGAAAUCGCAGCCAUACGGGCUAUGCUCCCCCAGCUGAACUGUAUCUGCAUUUCUAACGGUGGGAGAAAAGACACUAUAUGGCGAAGCGCUCCUCCCGCUGCCCUGCCAGGCUCAUCUGUCAGCCAUUAGUUAAUCAGGGCUGGUAACAGCGAGCACAGAGAGCUGGCACAGCGCAUGGGACCAGAGGACAGCUUCACCUCUGAGAGCAGGAGGAGGGCAAGGACUCAGGGACCCCUGCUUCACCAAGCUCCAGCUGGGUGGCUUCACUCACCGACACCCACUCAGUGUCUUUGUCUAGGACUGGCAGACGGCAACCUCCGCCUGACCCCACCCACCGCUUUACUUACAACAGGGAGGUUUCAGAGUCAGAAGUCAAAACAACACAUGUUAUCAACAUGGGAACAGCUGGUAAGAGUGGCGUCAUGGGGCACAGGAAUGUCAAGAGUCAUACAUCUUUUAUCCAUCAGGCCAAAAUAACCACCCAGACUUGGAACCACACACAGGAACAGCGUGAGAUAGUAACAUUUAUACAUGCAUCUCAUCUCACGCUAUCCAUAGUUCACUUCAUCCACCAGCUUCUAGAAACUGUAUGACAAUUUCAAUCCAACAAAUGCAUAUUAAAAUGUAUACAAAUGCCGAAUUUAGGUAUAUUUUGUUUCAUGCUAAAACAGCAGUGAUGAAUUACAGAUGUGACAAGUUGAUUCUGCCAUCUUAUUCAUUCAUUGUGCUGCUGAUUGUGUGACGUGGAAAUAAUUUCCAGUUUUUGACAGACUGUCAGCUGCAGUGACCUGCUGAUUGGCAAAAACUAAACAGCACAUUCUGCUUUUCCCAGUAAGAGUUAGCCGUCUUUAAAGAGUUAAAUAAACGACUGGUUGAGUUGGCACAAACAGUGUCUUCAGCACGGUUUCCUUUUUCAGUCAACACCACUCAGCAAAGGCACAACAAGAAAUCAUAAGUAAGAAUGAAAUGACAAAACAGCCGAGCUCUGACACUUUGUUUUCCAUGACCGUGUUAAAGUCAAACAUCCAGGAAAUGAGUGCCACACUAAAUACUGGGCAAAAUGAAGAAACAUGAGGGAAUCAACAGAAUGGAGCAAAUUCUUAUUGACAGAACUUAAGAAAUACAAACAGCAGACCAGUUGUGAAGUUAUAAAGCGGUGACCUUUAACACAGGGCAUCCAAGUCUAACUAUGUCUUCCUGCUAAAUGUUACACAGCUGUUUUUCUAAUCUGUCAUCGCAACCAGCCUGCCACAGCUUGCAGAGAGGGAAGUAUGGAAAAGCUCAGUGAAGUGGAAGAUCCUGACCUUGUGCUUAAAAAAAACAAAUUAAAAAGGAGAAUCUCAUUGUUACUGCACUUUAUCGACUGUUUACUAAGAUUGUUUAUACAUCGUUUUUUUUCCUUUCCCACCCAAAUUCCUCCUUUCACGAUCUUUUUUUUUCUAACCUUGUGCCUGAUUUCAGCUAAGUCCAUGGAUGGCACCAAGUGUUGACGAGGGAAAAUGCCUUCAUCAGAGGGAAACACAUCACAAAACCAAGAGAAAUCAAGAGACAAGCCACAAUCACUACCAAGAAAUAGAGGCACUGGGAAUAUUCCCUUUGAGAGCAUUUAGCUAAACCUACAUACUUAAUACAGGGGUCAGUGAUCUGAAAUCCAGCACCUAGUCAGACAGAAUACUUCUGACGGAAAUCAUUCCUUCAGCAUAUAUGUUGGCAAUGUUAGACUGGUGAAAUGAAAAAGAACUAGAGUAAAGACACUACCGUUCGGAAGUUUGGGGUCACUUAGAAAUGUCUUUACUUUUUAAAGAAAUCCAUUUUUUUCAACGGAGAUAACAUUAAAUUAAUCAGAAAUACAGUCUAGACAUUGUUAAUGUGGUAAAUGACUGUUCUAGCUGGAAACGGCUGAUUUUAAAUAGAAUAUCUACAUGGGGUACAGAGGAACAUUUCCAGCAACCAUCACUCCUGUGUUCUAAUGCUACAUUGUGUUAGCUAAUGGUGUUGAAAGGCUAAUUGACGAUUAGAAAAGCAUUGUGCAAAAAUGUUACCACAUGAAUAAAAGUGUGACUUUUCAUGGAAAACAUGAAAUUGCCUGGGUGAUCCCAAACUUUUGAACAGGUUAGAGUGCAUCAAAAAAGCACAUUUUUGAUACACCGAUUAAAAAUGUAAACUUUUUUGCAAAACAUUCCAGUGUGUUUUAAUAUUUCAGAGAAACUGUGCAUCAGACAAUGUUCGACACACUGGAAUUUUCUCACAUCUGUGGGCCAGUGGCCCCACACAAGUAGAAACAGACCAGACAGGUAGCUAAGUCACACGUAUGGUAUCAUACAUACAGUCAAACAGGGGUGAGGGUGAGUACAGUAAAAGCACUGGUGGAAAUGUGAUGUAGAGAAGGUACGACAUCACAUAACAGGAGCCUUUUCUGUCAGCCAGAGUUGAAAUAGAGAACUAUUAGCAAGCUGUUUGUGGAAGGGAGCUAGAAACACCCAAUCUAUCACUGCCUCUCCCACAAGAGUGGAAAAAAGCUGCCACAACUCCAUUUCAAUCCAUCACCUUGAUAGCAUCGACAGGCCUGAACAGCACCCGGCCCCGUUAGGUCUGAGCUUGUAGCCUCAUGCGAGAAGACUAUACAUUGAUCUCAAGUCUUAAAAGGCGACUCCUUGAGGCUUCAAAACACUUAGCAAGGGUUGAGGAAAAGCAGGCGCUCUCUACCUGUGUCAGAGCGAGGCCGAGCUCCUUGUCAUUGGACGUAGACCUACCUAAAUGCUUCCAGACUUUCAUGCCCUGUCUCCUCUCAUUUCAUCUCACUGCAUCUGCUCCGAACUCAGAUAACGCACAAAACAACAUCUCAGUUGGGCUUCUCUCUUGAUUUCUUUCAGUGUCCUACACAAAGUUUACCUGCACCUUAAUCUGCAAUAAAUUGUAAGGAUGCAAGUGCUCCUUCAACGUAUCUACAUCACAGUGUGCAACAUGUUCAACUUUUCUUUAUGUUGUCCAACUGAUAGACCAAAAAGGGACUUCCAUCCCUGACAUAAAUGCCAUGCUGUGAUCUAAAUAUUUUGAAUCUUGAGAUAACAUCUCACAGCAUCUGGUUUUCUCUUUCCCAAGUCGUAGUGGUUUGCCAAAAGCUGUAGGCUGCAGUGCUUGACUUCUAACCAGAAAAUCAUCCGCUGAACUGUUUUGCUUUCUCUCAAAGGCCAAAAUGAAACAUUAUCUAUCAACUCAGUCUUAAAUUAAAGCCACAACAAGAACCGAAGCUAGGGAACACCGGGAGGGACCUUUUCACACUCGCCUGGCACAUGUGCAAUAUCAGGAAACACAAGCUCAGUGAUGUCACAACCAACUGACCCCGAGGUGACAGGUUCGGAGAAUGUUCCUGCCCAUUGCCCUCAGGCCAAAGUCAAGUAUGUCAAUGUUGUGCAUGUGGAUUUCAUUUGAAGCGGCGUGAUUAGUUUGCAGACGCUCUGCUGCGAUCCCCCUCCAUGGGAAACACGCACUGGACAGGAAACGGUAUGUUUUUGUUAGCAACAAACAGGCAUAAAUUACUAAAAUGGUGCCUCGGUUGACAAUUUAUCAAACACAGCCAUAUUGUUGGUUUUUGCACACAGCUGACAUCGACGCUGCUUUGAAGGUAAUUAUCAUUAGUUAAUGAUAUUUACAUUCCGAUAGUUUAUGUUGAACUAUGUGCCUGUAUUCUGUCAUUUGUGCAAUAAAUGUGAUAAUUGUU